rnacentral:ribozyme from 1 species
AUGUGAUUGUUCCUUCGGUGUCUGGUAGGAGCAAUGCUCAAGAAAGCAGACACGACGUCAACAGCGGCAGCGAAAACCAGAAUGCUGGCCAAGGGCCCAUGCAAGUAGAAAACUCAAAUCUUCAGGAGCGAAU